rnacentral:rRNA from 1 species
GAUCAUGGCUCAGGAUGAACGCUAGCUACAGGCUUAACACAUGCAAGUCGAGGGGCAGCAUGGUCUUAGCUUGCUAAGGCCGAUGGCGACCGGCGCACGGGUGAGUAACGCGUAUCCAACCUGCCUUACACUCUUGGACAGCCUUCUGAAAGUAAGACUAAUGCCCAAUGAUAUCCCACGAAGGCAUCCGAAUGGGAUUAAAGAUUUAUCGGUGAUGGAUGGGGAUGCG